AGCCUCCAGAGGCUCCAGUGUGCCCCAUCCCUCCUUGCCUCAUUAGUCCUGCGAAGAAACCUGUGCCUGCGCCUUGAUUUGGCAUUUCACUGGCCACCGUUUGCGCUUGCCUCCGUGGACUACCAUGGCUGUGCGCCUAGACCAGGCCAGGGGUUGCUCAGCAAGGAAUGAACAUGAAGAUGGUUGGAAGUUUCCUGGACGAAGGUCACACAGGUCCCACCGAGGCAUGGGGACGGAGGUCAAGGAGACUACUGAGCUAUGAAGGGUGUGGUUGCUAUGAUCCCAACAUCUAAACGCUUUUCCUGGAGGAUAUUCUGUAAUCCCGCCACUCCAAGCUGAUGUGGUCGUCCAUCUCCCUAAUCCGAUGCUGUUCUGUCCCUGACGGUGUUCUUCAGUUUCCAGACUGCAGCGGAGUCUGAGCUCCUCAGUCUCUGCAAUGAAGACUGGAACAAGUUCUUCCACUGUGUCACUUCCGCCUUCAGUGUUAGGAUCGCAUUUGGAGGGUCUGUUGAUUUUUGCUGUACCCAGAUGACAUCAGCAAAGUCCAGCACAUCUCUGGAGAAACUGAAGGUGUGGCCCCCUCCCAGGAUCCUGGAAGCCUACUUUAUUUAUUUUUUUUAAAUUAAAUUUAUUCAUUUUCAGCAUAACAGUAUUCAUUAUUUUUUCACCACACCCAGUGCUC